rnacentral:lncRNA from 1 species
GCUCAGGGAUCUAUGUUGAAGAAGAUGUGGAAAGAUUCUAAGAGACAGAGGUAAUGAAUGACUCCAAAGAAACUGUCUUCGAAACACAACAGGGUUGGUACACAUAUGAGCUUGCAGAGACUAUAGCAGCAUGCACAAGGCCUGCACAGAUUCAAGCCAGAUGGGGUUUCAGCACUGAGAAGGGAGAGUGGACAGGGGAUCCCACCCCUAACCAAAAAGCUGUUUGCAAUUGGUACCUGGUUAGAAAGGGAAAACCAGUUUUCUGUAAUGAGGUGUAAUUGGCUAUAGCAACCAUAGUCUAGAGCAGUUCCCUUAUUUAGGACAGUUUAUCAACAGUAAAACUCCAUAGUGUGUGUGUGUGUGUGUGUGUGUGUGUGUUGAUACAUUCAUUUGGUUUUUAGUAUUUUUUGUGUUGGGGGAUUUAUUUUGUGAUUUUGUUUUUGUUUUCUUUCUGAGAAAAAGAGGGAGAAAGAGAACUAGGAGAGACAGACAGACAGACAGAACCAGAAGUUGGGUGGAUAAGAAGGUGAGAUGGAUUUGGAAAGACAUAGAGGAGGAAAAGGAAUAUGAUCAAAAUACAUUGUAUGAAAAAUAAUUUUACCUAAUUAAAAAAAGGAGAAAAAGAAAAAUAAUUUAAAUAAAAAUAAAAUAAUUCUCAUGAAAUAUAUAUAAAUAUAUAUGUAUGUACAUAAAAAUAUGUAUAACCUAAUAAAUCUAGUUGGUGUUGCUCAUAUAUAUGUGUCUGUUUAUUGCUGGACACCUUGGAUUGUGUAACCUCUCAGGGAUCUUGUCCAUGGGGAAAAAGCUGGCUCUCCCUCUCUCAGCAGGUUUUGAUUGUCUUCCUCUAGCAUGUCACUUGCUUUAAGUCUCAGAAGAAACUUUGAGCUUUGGAAUUUUACACCUUGUUGAGACUGUGAUAAACUCUGGGGACUUCUGAAGUUGGACAAAAUGACGCUUUUACAGUGUUUGCUCAGUUUAUACUUUUUAACUAUUCUUGGGAUUCAUGAGUGAUUCUUUUUUACCUUUUAGAAGUUGCUAAGUGUUUUUUUAAUAGAAUUGAGGAGAACAUUUAGUUUUUCUCAUUUUUUCCUUAAACAUGCUAUUCUCCGAUUUUAUGGCAAACAUUGCACAUUUUAAUAUUCCUAAUUUUUUUAGCAGCUCCAUACGACAGAAUGUCAUUUAUGUCACCUGCACAGGCUUUAAUUACAUAAUACACUGGCUCAACACUCCUAGUGCUGACAUUCAAACUGUGUGCCAUUACUUGUUUUCAAAACAAUUAUACAGCAAGUUUUACUUAUGCACCCAACUGGAACCAAUAUGAGCAUCUGCUUAUACGUGUUUGUCUCUGCCUCCUGGGUUGCUGCUCCUGGGUUACUGGCUCUUGCUCUCCUUCUGAUGAAGGCUUAUUUUAAUGAGUUCUUUAUCAAUACCCCAGAAUAACACUGUGUUCUGCAAUUUCUGGACCUUUUUUUGUUUUUUUCAAAUAUGUUCCCUGGAUUUUAUCUGAACCUUUUGCACAGUAGAUAACAUAACAGAUUAAUUCUUUAAUCUGAAAAUGCAAUUAAGCCUAUCAGGUACACACUUUAACAAUCUGUCUCUGCAUGGAGCAGGUCCUGGAGGUUUUCC